GACGAAGGGGGCUAGCGUUGUUCGGAAUUACUGGGCGUAAAGCGAGUGUAGGUGGUUGUCCAAGUUGGAUGUGAAAGCCUUGAGCUCAACUCAAGAAAUGCAUUCAGGACUGGGCGGCUAGAGGACCGGAGAGGAUAGUGGAAUUCCCAGUGUAGUGGUGAAAUACGUAGAGAUUGGGAAGAACACCAGUGGCGAAGGCGGCUAUCUGGACGGUUUCUGACGCUAAGACGCGAAAGCGUGGGGAGCAAACGGG
rnacentral:rRNA from 1 species